CAGUAGCCGCGGGAAUACGAAGGGUGCAAGCGUUACUCGGAAUUACUGGGCGUAAAGCGUGCGUAGGUGGUGGUUUAAGUCCGUUGUGAAAGCCCUGGGCUCAACCUGGGAAUUGCAGUGGAUACUGGGUCACUAGAGUGUGGUAGAGGAUAGUGGAAUUUCCGGUGUAGCAGUGAAAUGCGUAGAGAUCGGAAGGAACAUCUGUGGCGAAGGCGACUAUCUGGGCCAACACUGACACUGAGGCACGAAAGCGUGGGGAGCAAACAGGAUUAGAUACCCCUGUAGUCCCUGUCUCUUAUCU
rnacentral:rRNA from 1 species